rnacentral:rRNA from 1 species
GACGUAGGGCGCGAGCGUUGUCCGGAUUUAUUGGGCGUAAAGAGCUCGUAGGCGGCUUGUCGCGUCGAAUGUGAAAACCUGCAGCUCAACUGCAGGCUUGCAUUCGAUACGGGCAGGCUCGAGUUCGGUAGGGGAGACUGGAAUUCCUGGUGUAGCGGUGAAAUGCGCAGAUAUCAGGAGGAACACCGGUGGCGAAGGCGGGUCACUGGACCACAACUGACGCUGAGGCGCGAAAGCUAGGGGAGCAAACAGG